rnacentral:rRNA from 1 species
ACGGCCCACCAAGGCGACGAUCAGUAGCCGACCUGAGAGGGUGACCGGCCACAUUGGGACUGAGACACGGCCCAGACUCCUACGGGAGGCAGCAGUGGGGAAUAUUGCGCAAUGGGGGCAACCCUGACGCAGCAACGCCGCGUGAGUGAAGAAGUAUUUCGGUAUGUAAAGCUCUAUCAGCAGGGAAGAAAAUGACGGUACCUGACUAAGAAGCCCCGGCUAACUAC